UUUUGUAUAAUGGGUCAGCGACUUAUAUUCUGUAGCAAGGUUAACCGAAUAGGGGAGCCGAAGGGAAACCGAGUCUUAACUGGGCGUUAAGUUGCAGGGUAUAGACCCGAAACCCGGUGAUCUAGCCAUGGGCAGGUUGAAGGUUGGGUAACACUAACUGGAGGACCGAACCGACUAAUGUUGAAAAAUUAGCGGAUGACUUGUGGCUGGGGGUGAAAGGCCAAUCAAACCGGGAGAUAGCUGGUUCUCCCCGAAAGCUAUUUAGGUAGCGCCUCGUGAAUUCAUCUCCGGGGGUAGAGCACUGUUUCGGCAAGGGGGUCAUCCCGACUUACCAACCCGAUGCAAACUGCGAAUACCGGAGAAUGUUAUCACGGGAGACACACGGCGGGUGCUAACGUCCGUCGUGAAGAGGGAAACAACCCAGACCGCCAGCUAAGGUCCCAAAGUCAUGGUUAAGUGGGAAACGAUGUGGGAAGGCCCAGACAGCCAGGAUGUUGGCUUAGAAGCAGCCAUCAUUUAAAGAAAGCGUAAUAGCUCACUGGUCGAGUCGGCCUGCGCGGAAG
rnacentral:rRNA from 1 species